rnacentral:snoRNA from 1 species
GGCCUCCCAAGUGCUUUCUCACAGGCUGUCCAGAAAGAGGAGGAACAGCAAAGCCCACCCACGAACAACUCUGCCAGGCCCUCUGCCUGAUCUGUUCUUGUGUAUGAAGAGACAAGC